GGGGUCAGCCCAGUCUUUGGGAAGAUUAGACAGCUCCGCUGGUCUCCCUGCUCCCCCCGCUACAGCCUGGGGCCAUCACUUUAUGCAAGGCGGGCGAGAGUAAUAUUAGCCCCACUAUCGUUGGUACCUUGCCCUCGAAGUUCCUUUUGGACCUGAGCAGGAGGUGAAAAACAAACAAACAAACAAACACGGACCCAGCGCGGCCGCGAGCAUCCUGCCGCGUGGAGGAACACUCACCAGCCCGUAUAUCUUGCCGUCCGCGCUCAUGCAGAGGUACCGCACGCUGCUGACGUCCUUGAUGGCAAUCGUCUUCAGAGCGACCGCGCGGAACUCCAACAAAUCUGCGAGCAAGAGAAAGAAGUUGCCGGGCCCCAGCAACACUCCACAGAGCCGUCGCUCCGGAUACGGAGGAAGCAGUUGGAGACGUAGGGACCAGCGGAGUACAGGUACUGCAGGCGGGUAAUCUUGCCCCAGCCGUAGAGAAAGAGUGGAUCUUCACCUGGCACAGACUGGGAUUGCUGGGCCAGGGGACGCCCAGCCACAGCCAGCCACAGAGUGGCCAGGACCAGGGCUCGGGCCACCGCACGCCCGUUCCACUUUCUUGCCAUGGCACCUCAAGGUCGUGAAGGCCGUUACAAAGUUGGCGCAGAGACUGCGAUGCAGCGAGGACUCAAGUUGCAGGCGCAGGGCAGGCACAGCCCACAAAGCAACUGGGUGCUUGUGGCGCGGGCUCACAGCGCUACUGCUCCGACAGUGGGGCGGCUCCGGGCACGCGGCCUUAUAUACGUUUCGUCCCGUGGGCCCCGCGGGUAGGUGACCCGGGCAUCAGAGCAUUUCUCCUCCUAAUUGCAUCAAGUCUCCGCCCCCCGCACACACCCAUUCAGCCCCAACCCAGUGACCCCGCCCAGGCCGGCCAGAUCUGUCAGAAGAGGAGCCCCCCCUUUGCGACCGCGGCCUGGGAAGCAAGUGUUUAAUGCACAGUAUCUUGGUAGUUAAUGAAUAGGCUAUUUUAAUUUUACUAUUAAUUAUUGAAGUCUUCAGGCCAUGGGCUUUCAGAGGGAUGCGCGUGGGACAGUCACAGAGACUAGAAGGCACGCAAAGCUCUGCCUCCGUAUCCCCCUGUUUGAGUUUUGAAUCUCUCCUUUAGCAAGCUCUCGCAGAUCCUACCCUCCCUCAUUCUCCCGGCCCCAGACCUAGGCUCCCUUUUCAUGGAUAUUUGCCCUACACGGUGGAGACCUCGUGGGAGCGUGUGGCGCGCACUAGGUGGCGCUUCAGCCCCAGUUUCGGCCUCCACUGCGCUGCCAGUCGCCGUCUGUGCGUCCUCUGCCUGUCUCGCGCGUGGAGUCUACAAGGGGAACGUCACUGGGGUUGCAACUUUUGAGAAGGGUGGACUGACCAACGCGCGGAGUAACGGCAUACCGCGGGGUCCCCUCUUGGGUCGGUGAUCAGGCCCUUGAGUCUGUGCGCAAGGGGACAGCUGCGUACCGGAGAGGAGGGGGCCAGCUAGGAGCAACGGUGGACGCUGCUGGCGGCGGGUCAGGUGGGAGGAGAAUGGGGGCCUCUCCUUGAGCCGCUUUUGCAAAGAAAGGAGGCAGCCUGCAGAGAAUUCCCCGGCCUGGAAGAAAGGGUCCUCGCAGGGGGCUUUGGCUCAGCGCUUAUCCUUUCUCAUUAUGCCUCCAACCCCCCAACUCCUGUAUGUGGGGCCCCGGGAGGCUGGUUUGGGUAAAAAGGUACUGGCCUAGCUCCGUGGUGAUGGGAGGUCUGUCUGCAGGGGCGGGACAGCAGAGAAAUGGCAGAUCUGAUGAAUCUCAAUGAGAAACACGCCACUUUCAGACGCCAUCAGUGACUGGCAUUAAUGACGAAGCUCUGGGAGAAUGUCACCGGGAAAGCCUUUACAAAAAGACAUCACCGAAGGCUCUCAGGACCGGGGACUCCCAUGCUGUGAGGCUUGUUUUAGAGAGCGGUGUCUCCUGUAAAAUCUAAUUACUUCUCCCUUGUGAUUCUCAAUCGACAGCGCGGGCUAUUAAUCUUAAUUGCCUUCUCCUGCCGCUUUUGUUUUAAUGUCCGUGAUAAAUGUGGGGUACUGGGGAGGUUGGCAGAGGCUUUGGCAGAGGAGUCCCCCCAAAUUGGGCUGGAGGGUGGCAUGCGGGUGGCAGCACCCCAUCCCCACUCUGCUCUCUUCUCAGGGACUCCCAGAAGAGUUAGGGAUGUUGGUAAUGGAGUGAUCAGAGAAAAGUCUGUUGGGUCACUGGGGGCUCCCAUAAGAACAUUCUUCUCCAGGGUGGGUUUUACUUCCACCUCUGAAUAAGAUAGAAAAUGGGACUCUGGAAAGUGACAGAGCGCCCCCAAGGAUGCACAUCCUGAGAGGUGAAGAUGGAGCCUUGUGUGUGACAAAGGCAGGAUGGCCUGUCUCAGGGCACAGGAGUGACAGUGAAUCCACAAAUUGCUACUCCCUGGGCACGUGGUGAACUCCGUGCCAGUUACAUCAGCCUGCUUUUGGGCUUGACUUGUGUUGUUUGGAAGAGUGGACAUAGGAGUCCUAAGAUCUCUCUGUUCAUGUCUAGAACAAGAGCCUGGACUGUUCACACGGAGAAUGAGAGGUUAAGUGGUUUUUUAUAGUUACAGCAAUGUGGGAAUGAAUCCUGAAGGAAACCGAGGCUUACAUGGACAGAGUGUGAGAUGGGCGUGCCCAGGAGAUUCUGAUCACCCACGCCUAGGUUUUUGGGGGUAUACCCCCCUCUGGAGAAAAUUGAAGA
ensembl:lincRNA